UUUUUCCAUGGUGAUGCCUAUUGUGUGUGAAUAUGUAAAUAAGUAUAUAUGUACAAAGUGAGAAGUGUGCAAAUGCAUGCCACUUCUCCUUGCCCGGAUUUUAUACGCAUCUCCAAUGUAUGUACAUUCCUCGUAUUAUGCCCGGAUUUAUUAUACUAUCGAUUUCUUCCACUGCGGAAGUCAUAUGUAUGUGAUGGUGAAAGUUGGUUUGGUCCAAGUUGUAUACAUACAUACAAAUAAUGUUUGUAAAUAAACCUUGGUUUACCAGUUGUUUACGUAUAAUUCGGCUUCAGUGAGAUAUUUUUAUCUUUAAAUGCGUACCUUUCUGUGCAAACUGUUUAAAAUUAGGAGUGAGAGAAAUUAAAAGUUAAAUCGAUUAAAAUGCAGAUUUUGCUACAGUUUUGUGGGUCGUCAUAGUUUAUAAAACUGAUAACUUGUUGAAAUUAUGUACGCUAUUAUUAUCUUUCGGACAUGAAUUAGUGUUAUUUAACGUGAUAUUAAUACAUAUGUAAAUACUUAGAAGCUGUGUUAAAAAAUUUGCUGGGCGAAUCGCCAUGUCGACGAAUGGAGGAUUUGCCUAAAUCUGUCCUAAAUGUUACCAGAAAUCUGGCAAAAUUGGAUACUCAUUAUCAUAACGCGCUUCGAAAUUACGCUUUGACCCAGUCGGAAAGCACCCUUCAUCAAGGGCACCGUCCCCUUUCCCCCAGGAGCGGAAAUUCCUUAUCAUCCUGCUCGGAUUUUUUGCGGCCUGUGUCAUGCUGAGGUUAAUUGAGUCCUAUGUAAAAACAUUGACGAAGGAUUGUUGUCGCAGAAAUGGGACAACGGACCUUCGGCGACCGAGACCUCGGGGGGUGGGGACGACGGAUGUGGUACAAAAUAGUUCGAUAGUUAGUGAUAACGACCUUAUCACGUAUGGUGACCUCGGGGAAGGGGAAGAGUGUCAGGUCGUGAUACAGAUUGAACUUCGUGAUGACCCUCCGCCACCGUACUCGUGGGGCAGACCGGAUACUCCGCCACCGUUGUAUAAAGAUAUCGUGAGGGAUGAUAAGUGAUGUUUUUUUUAAUUUUGAGUUCCACGCAUCAUUUCCGAGAAAUUUAUGUAUGUACGAAUUACGCGACCUUAAAUACAGACGCGCAUUGUUUUUAUAAUACUUAGUUAAUCUUCUAUGUUAAGUUAAUUGUGGGCUAUGUACAUACAUAUCGUCGGCUUAAUUGCAUAUGUAAAAAAAAUCGGACCAGAGACAUGAGUGGUGAUUUAUGUAAAUAUGUUUCCUGAAGAGAUUUUACUUAAUGUGACAUUUUAUUGUUGAAAUUUAUAUAUGUGUAUUUACGAAUUUUAAUCCUGAUUACCUUAAUCUUAAUUGUAAGUUUAAGGAUGAAAAUAAUAUUUAAUUUUUGGUUUGACGCUCAUUGUAUGACUGCGAAUAUACAAUAAAUACGAAGAAAUUUAUAUUACAUACAAUUAA